GCCUUCGAGGUGUAGUGGUCAGUACGCUCGACGCAUAUUCGAGAUUCCGGUGGUUCGAUUCCCGGCGAGAGCA
rfam:Stegodyphus mimosarum contig70801, whole genome shotgun sequence.